rnacentral:rRNA from 1 species
CCUACGGGCGGCUGCAGUGGGGGAUAUUGCACAAUGGGGGAAACCCUGAUGCAGCGACGCCGCGUGUGGGAAGACGGUCCUCUGGAUUGUAAACUACUGUUCUCAGGGACGAAGAUGACGGUACCUGGGGAGGAAGCUCCGGCUAACUACGUGCGAGCAGCCGCGGUAAUAGGGAGGGAGCGAGCGUUGUCCGGAAUUACUGGGGUUAAAGGGAGCGUAGGCGGGGAUGCAAGUUGGGUGUCAAAAUUACCGGCUCAACUGGUAGUCGCACUCAAAACUGCAGCUCGUGAGUGAAGUAGAGGCAGGCGGAAUUCCUAGUGUAGCGGUGAAAUGCGUAGAUAUUAGGAGGAACACCAGUGGCGAAGGCGGCCUGCUGGGCUUUUACUGACGCUGAGGCUCGAAAGUGUGGGGAGCAAACAGGAUUAGAUACCCCUGUAGUC